UCCACGCCGUAAACGAUGGAUACUAGGUGUAGGAGGUAUCGACCCCUCCUGUGCCGUAGCUAACGCAUUAAGUAUCCCGCCUGGGGACUACGGCCGCAAGGCUGAAACUCAAAGGAAUUGACGGGACCCCGCACAAGCGGUGGAGCGUGUGGAUCAAUUCGUCACAAAGCGAAGAACCUUACCCAGGCUUGACAUCCCGGGAAUCCUGCCGAAAGGUGGGAGUGCCCUUCGGGGAGCCCGGAGACAGGUGUUGCAUGGCUGUCGUCAGCUCGUGUCGUGAGAUGUUGGGUUAAGUCCCGC
rnacentral:rRNA from 1 species